UACGGGGGGAGCAAGCGUUGUUCGGAUUUACUGGGCGUAAAGGGCGCGUAGGCGGCCAGCACAAGUCAGUUGUGAAAUCUCCGGGCUUAACUCGGAAAGGUCAACUGAUACUGUGCGGCUAGAGUGCAGAAGGGGCAACUGGAAUUCUCGGUGUAGCGGUGAAAUGCGUAGAUAUCGAGAGGAACACCUGCGGCGAAGGCGGGUUGCUGGGCCGACACUGACGCUGAAGCGCGAAAGCCAGGGGAGCGAACGGG
rnacentral:rRNA from 1 species